CCGCUGGGGCGGGAGGGGGCGGCGGCCGGACUUGCAGAGCCAGGAUGAGUCGGCAAAACCGCGGGCGUGUCCGCCCCCGGCGUCGGAGCCUCGGGGACGCCUGCCACGGAGGUGAGACCGUGGCGACUCCAGGAACGGCCUAGAACCGGACCGGAAGCCGGAGAAACUCUGACAUCUACCCGACAUCAUUGUCCCUUAGGUUGGAUGCUCUCAAAAGCAGACCCUGAGCCUCCCGAGCUGCUGGAAUCACAGGCGGGAGCCACCAGAGCCGUCAUGCUUAUCCUGCGCGGACCCCUGUCUCCCUGUUUUCCUCUCCAUCUUCGUCCCCUCUGCUGACCUCCUAAGUUCUGUUUUAAUUUCACGUAGAAGAGUUGCCUCUUCCUCUGGGAUCUUGGGUGCACGCUGAGCAGCUCCUUGGGGUGCUGAGGCAGGUUUGCUCUUCCAUUGCUGCUUCUUGUGGUCACAAGAUGAGUUCCAGGGCCAACGGGACAAUCUCCGUCUUUGUUCACAUCCAUGAGGAAAGAGAGAAUCCAUUCCCAGCAAUGGUGAUAUGAAAUCCUUCCUCCGUUCAGUCUGAUCGGCCAGCUUGAGUCAUGUGACUGUCCAAGAUUACUCACAUCCUCCUGGGACAUGCCAUGUGCGGAGCUGCUUAAACAGGGGUGCAGGGGCCUGGUACUCUUUGGGAUGACUGUGGGGGCUGAGAGGGGACCCCUUAGUCAUCCUCCUGGGGUUAGCCUGCUCCGAGCCACCUGCACAUGGCUACGCAAUGGGCAGAUGUCCGAUGAACACCAGGCCUGCUGUCACUGGCUGCCCCUCGACUCACUUUGAUUUCAUCUGCAGUUGUGCUGCGAAGUUCCAUGCAAGCUCAGACCUGAGCCCCUGUGUCCCCACAUCUCCAUCCUUGGGGAGCUCUGCCCACACACAGGCACAUACCAGAGGGGGACAGCAGGUGUUCUCCAGGUGCUGAUCUCGGCCAUCCCAGGUGGGCAACUUGAGGAGUGUUCUAGACCAUUUGGACCUUUCUAGAACCUUCUCCGAGACCAGCAGUAGGCAGCCCUUGGCCACAACAGUGGCCUCACUAACACACCCUCGGCCCUAUUCUUCUUGCCCCUCAUUUCUGCCUUCUGGGGUCCCCCCAUGUAAACACCUGGCACUCAAGACCCAGACUUUGCUAUCAGGGAGCCAAAACUGAGGCGAAGGGGCAGGUGACGUGGGGUCACGGCCUCUGGCUCUGCACCUUGCCUGGCUUAAAACUCAGGUGCGUGAUCUCGGGCCAGGCACCUGUUUGUGCCUCGGUUUCCUGAUUGCAAAGUGGACAGCAUGAUGUCCCCUCAUCUGAGGGGUCUUGGAGAUAUAAGAAGAAUUGAUGUGAAGUCAAGUCCUUGGGAAAGCGCAAAGCAUCCUGAACAUUUUAAAUGACGAACAGAUCUCGGCCAUCUCCACGUCUGCACUUCCAGAGUAGUUUUGAGGCGUUAGUCCAGACUCUUCUUUGCAAGUGACAGAAGCCAAAGUGAACCAGCUGAUGGUGACAGGCUGCCCCUUGCUGGUGGGUGAAGCUGCACCUCCAGGAAAAGUGAGUUYAGAGAUUGUUCAGUCUGGGUGAUGCUGACACCACUCAGGGGCGGAAUCGCUGGAGGAGAAUUGCUGCUUCUUCCAGGGAACCGUGAAAGGGGACAGCAUCCCUACUCCAGCUGAGCUGCCCUGGGCUGCAGGUAACAGGGCCCCUGUUCAGCCGACAGAACCCCUUAACCACUCAGUUUUGUGAAUAUUUUGAUGAAAUCGACACAGGGGCAUCAACAUAGGUUGGACAUCAUCACCGAGAGCUGAUUAUUAUGACUGAUGAUACGCACAAGCCCUGGAUAUAUACUAAUAUUAUAAUUAUAUUCUUACUCUUGGGUAAUUACAUUAUACAUUAUACGUUAUAUACUACAUUUAAGUUUUCAUAGGCAUCCACAUCUAGGAUGAGCAAACAAAAUGGUUAAACAAUA